CCUACGGGAGGCAGCAGUGGGGAAUAUUGCACAAUGGGGGAAACCCUGAUGCAGCGACGCCGCGUGAGUGAAGAAGUAUUUCGGUAUGUAAAGCUCUAUCAGCAGGGAAGAAAAUGACGGUACCUGACUAAGAAGCCCCGGCUAACUACGUGCCAGCAGCCACGGUAAUACGGAGGGUGCGAGCGUAAGCCGGAUUUAUUGGGUUUAAAGGGUGCGUAGGCGGAAUAUCCAGUAAGCGGUAAAAAUUCGGGGCUCAACCCCGUCGUGCCGUUGAAACUGAUGUUCUUGAGUGGGCGAGAAGUAAGCGGAAUGCGUGGUGUAGCGGUGAAAUGCAUAGAUAUCACGCAGAACUCCGAUUGCGAAGGCAGCAUACCGGCGCCCAACUGACGCUGAAGCACGAAAGCGUGGGUAUCGAACAGGAUUAGAUACCCGGGUAGUC
rnacentral:rRNA from 1 species